AUUGAACGCUGGCGGCAGGCCUAACACAUGCAAGUCGAGCGCGAAAGUUUCUUCGGAAAUGAGUAGAGCGGCGGACGGGUGAGUAACGCGUAGGAAUCUGCCCAGUAGUGGGGGACAACAUGGGGAAACUCAUGCUAAUACCGCAUACGCCCUAAGGGGGAAAGCAGGGGAUCUUCGGACCUUGCGCUAUUGGAUGAGCCUGCGUCGGAUUAGCUAGAUGGUGGGGUAAUGGCCUACCAUGGCGACGAUCCGUAGCUGGUCUGAGAGGAUGAUCAGCCACACUGGGACUGAGACACGGCCCAGACUCCUACGGGAGGCAGCAGUGGGGAAUAUUGGACAAUGGGGGCAACCCUGAUCCAGCCAUGCCGCGUGUGUGAAGAAGGCCUUCGGGUUGUAAAGCACUUUCAGUAGGGAGGAAAAGUUGAUGGUUAAUACCCAUCGACCCUGACGUUACCUACAGAAGAAGCACCGGCAAACUCCGUGCCAGCAGCCGCGGUAAUACGGAGGGUGCGAGCGUUAAUCGGAAUUACUGGGCGUAAAGCGCGCGUAGGCGGUUUGAUAAGCUGGAUGUGAAAGCCCCGGGCUCAACCUGGGAAUUGCAUCCAGAACUGUCAGGCUAGAGUACAGUAGAGGUGAGUGGAAUUUCCUGUGUAGCGGUGAAAUGCGUAGAUAUAGGAAGGAACAUCAGUGGCGAAGGCGGCUCACUGGACUGAUA
rnacentral:rRNA from 1 species